UGCGUAGGCUGUUUUUUAAGUGGGGUGUGAAAUCCCUCGGCUCAACCGAGGAACUGCGCUCCAAACUGGCAAACUUGAGGAAGGUAGGGGUAAUCGGAACUUGCGGUGGAGCGGUGAAAUGCUUUGAUAUCGCAAGGAACACCAGUGGCGUAGGCGGAUUACUGGACCUUUUCCGACGCUGAGGCACGAAAGCUAGGGUAGCGAACGGGAUUAGAUACCCCGGUAGUCCUAGCCGUAAACGAUGAGCACUUGGUCGGGGGAUACUCCAUAGUUUCCUGGCCGUAGCGAAAGUGUUAAGUGCUCCGCCUGGGGAGUAUGGUCGCAAGGCUGAA
rnacentral:rRNA from 1 species